CUACGGGAUGCAGCAGUGAGGAAUAUUGCACAAUGGGGGAAACCCUGAUGCAGCAACGCCGCGUGGAGGAUGACGCAUUUCGGUGUGUAAACUCCUUUUAUGAGUCAAGAAAAUGACGGUAGCUCAUGAAUAAGCACCGGCUAACUCCGUGCCAGCAGCCGCGGUAAUACGGAGGGUGCAAGCGUUACUCGGAAUCACUGGGCGUAAAGGACGCGUAGGCGGGCUUGUAAGUCAGGUGUGAAAUCCUACAGCUUAACUGUAGAACUGCACUUGAAACUACGAGCCUAGAGUAUGGGAGGGGCAGAUGGAAUUAGUGGUGUAGGGGUAAAAUCCGUAGAUAUCACUAGGAAUACCGAAAGCGAAGGCGAUCUGCUGGAACAUUACUGACGCUAAGGCGUGAAAGCGUGGGGAGCAAACGGGAUUAGAUACCCCAGUAGUC
rnacentral:rRNA from 1 species